GCACGUGGUUUAAUUCGACGCAACGCGAAAACUACCUGGGCUUGACAUGGAGAGAAUCGUCCUGGAAACAGGAGAGUGCCUCGCAAGAGGAGCUCUCACACAGGUGCUGCAUGGCUGUCGUCAGCUCGUGUCGUGAGAUGUUGGGUUAAGUCCCGCAACGAGCGCAACCCUCGCCUUUAGUUGCCAGCAUUCAGUUGGGCACUCUAGAGGGACUGCCGGUGUCAAACCGGAGGAGGGUGGGGAUGACGUCAAGUCCUCAUGGCCUUUAUGUCUAGGGCUACACACGUACUACAAUGGCCGGUACAAAGGGCAGCCACUCAGCGAUGAGGCGCUAAUCCCAUAAAGCCGGUCUCAGUCCGGAUCGCAGUCUGCAACUCGACUGCGUGAAGUUGGAAUCGCUAGUAAUCGUAGAUCAGAAUGUCACGGUGAAUACGUUCCCGGGUCUU
rnacentral:rRNA from 1 species